CGUCUUCAAACCGGAACUGUCACGCAAUAUUCGUAAACAAAAAAUUAGGUGCUUCAAAAUGAUUGGGACGUUAGUUAAAAUUCGAGAUUUCUGCUCUUUCUGGUAUCUGCAGUACACUUUAAUUACUUCUUUGUACAUGUUAGAACCAUUAGAGAGAAUUGUCUUUAGUAUCCUUUGUUGUAUAAUCUAAUAUUUGAACUGAGGUAGAUCUUGUAAAGUAUUUACAUAAUAUUUUCUAUGCCUAGGCUAUGGUGUAUGGACCGCACCUAAGGUAGGCCAUAGGUUUGAGGUACACUGUAAAGUGUCUACCGAAUGAUUAACUAGACUUCUAUGUUCAUUGCUUUAUUACGAUAGCUCCUCAAUAUGUUAACUUUGAAUGUUUCUAAAACUCAAAUAAUUAAAUUUGUACAAGAAAGUGACCAUCCCCCUUUUUUAUGCACAUAUGAAAAAGAAGAUGUGGUAUGAUUGCCAAUGAGACAACUCUCCACAAGACACAAUAUGACACAGAAAUUAACAAUGAUACUUCAUCGUAUGACCUUAAACAAUGUGCAAGUGCCAUUCUGCAUAGUCAGCUAUAAUUGACCCCGAAAUUACAUGUGUGAAACAAUACACCUAAUCGCUAUUUAUUCCAUUCCGGAUAAGUUCUAAAAUUACACAACUUUUUCAUCCAGUUGAAGCUAUCUGGGACCCUGUUUAAACAAUUCACCAUGCAUGAUACUUUUUAAUGAGACCUGUUUAAACUACCGUAAAUACUUCAAACAAAAUAUUUUUUACUUCAAUUUUAAUUUCGAAAAAAGUGGAUCAUACUAUAUCAAAGUUUCCUGAUGAUCACUUUCUAAAGUUUUUUCUCCCUCAACUCACUACUGAUGACCUCCAUUUUUCGGCCGGUGACCCAAACAGGAAGUUGUAUAAAUGACUGUUUUUCCCGGAAUGGACGAAAUAGCGAUAAGGUGUAUACAAACCAGAAAACUUAUGGCCUAAUUUAUUUAUAAAAAUUGAACAAAAACAAAUCUGUAACAUCAACAAAAGAAAACCACUGAAUUCGGGCUACUGAUUUUGCACAGGCACAUACAUACAAAAUGUGGCUUAAUUUUUCAAUUGUAUAAAAAAGCUACAUCUACCAAAAUAUCAUUGAUCCAUAUAGAUAAAUCAUACAAAAUAAGAACAAUUUAUUAUUGUAAACUGAUAUUUUGUUCUUCAGUUCUUUGUUUUGUUUAAUUUAAGAUUGAAAUACAAUGUACAUCUAGCUUUUAACAGACUAACAUAUGUUUAAUAUACAUAUACAGGGAUUGAAGUUAUAAUUUUGGAAGACUAGCCCACAUCUUAUCUUUUGUACACUAUAUAAGUAGUUUCUAUACAAGAAAAUCAGAAAUUUUAGUAGCCCACACCAAAUUUUAGGGGCCAUUGGCGAGUAGGCCCCUGCUAAUUUCAAACCCUGAUAUAUUCAAUGCUGAGCACUGGAUAAUAAAGUUGACCUUAACCCAACUAAAACUGUACCAAACACAGCCUGCCAUCAUUUUAAAUUUAUAUAAAGAAAUAUAGUGAAAAAUUUGACAUGAUUUGUAGGUUGUGUUUUUACUAUUUCUUUUCUACUUUAAAAAAACUCACUCUACAAAUCCUUGUUUUAGGUACUUGAUUUAUCAAAAAUUGAGUGAAAACUGAAUUAAAAGGUCUUCUGAUUUCCAAGUAUAUUCAAUAUACAACUUGCAUAAUUAUACAUGUAUAUUUAAUGUGCAUGACAUGUAUAUUAAUUUAACUUUCGUGACUAUUCAUGUAUAUAUUUAACAUGCAUGAAUAUUCAUGUAUAUUGAACUUGCAUGAUUAUACAUGUAUAUUUAACUUGAAUGAAUAUACAGUACAUGUAUUCAGAGGUGCAUUAAGGGGGGGGGGGGGGUUGCUUAUGUAGGGAAUCACUGAAGCAGGACUGUAGUGGGCCCCCACUUAUGAAAAUUUCUUGACCUGCCACUGGUAUUUUAACUUGCAUGAAUAUACAUGUAUCUUGUAUUGUCAGUCCUUAAAACUUUUCCAGUUGCACAAUUUUUCAGAAGCUAUUAAAGUGAAUUUACUGAAUGUUGUGUCAGUUAAAUAUACAUGUAAAGGUAUAUAAUAGGCCUGAUUAUUCAUCCGUUUUUUUAAAUACUCUAUAAUUUUCUUUGUUUUCAGUGUUUGACUUAAAUUGUUACCUUAACACUUAUUCAGAUACUCUUUUAGUUGUGAUUACAGCAAUGUUUAUAUACACCAGUUUCUACUUCAUGCAACCAUAUAUGUUCAGUUUUGUGAACUAUCUGACUAAGAGAAGCUCUGAAUUUAUUCCACUGUGAUAUAUAAUAGGCUACCAAUAUGUGAUAUGAAUUAACCAGUGAUCAUUGGAGGUGCUGAAUAAUAUGUGGUUUCUGCCAAAGUAUUGACGACAAUAAAGAUUGCAUCCUGAAAUACAUGUAUGAAUAGUGUGGAUUGCCUGACAAAUGAAUCAUUCUUUCAGAGAAUGUUUCAAUCUUUUAAAAUAUUUAUUGACAUGCUAUAUGUAAAUAAACAUUAACAGUGAUACAUGUACAUAUAUAUUUCUCCAUAGGUUGUUGGUCAUUAUCAGUUUCCAGUGUGACUGUGUCUAAGAGAUUUAUAGGUGCUGUAAUACAGUAUUUUUAAAGUAUUAAAUACCAAUAAUUUAUUACAUAAUUUUGUUCAAAUUUUUCCAGUAAAAAUGUAUAUAUACAAUGUAGUGUAUAUACAACAAAAGUUAUGAAUGUUAUAAUCUUGAUAAUAUUAUGAUGAAUUUGAUUUGUCUGCAAAAAUAUCUUUCUAGGUAAUUAGGAUGUUACUGUCAAACAUGUGCAUUUUAAAAAAAAAUACUCUUGCUGGUUUUAUAAUUUACUACAGGGUAAUGAUUGUUGUUGAUUUACAGUGAACCUUGAUGUCCUCCAGGGCUACAAACAAACAACUUAUGGAAUAAAGUGAGAUAUGUUUUAAAUAUAAUCAACUGCAAUAACUUUGAGAAAAUCACCAAUUGUAAUUAAAAAAAAAGUUUAUUGUGUAUAAUGUAUUAUGAUAAAUAGAUCUCAAAAUGAAAGAUUUUUUUAAAGAUUUUAUUUUUAAAUGUUUGGAAACCUAAAGCAAAAGAACUGAAGCAAUAAGGGAUUUUAAACUAACUUUGAACUUUCUAUUUCAAGUUUUCAAUUUAUGAAAGCUGCAUGUAAUGUCUGGAAACUACAUGUAAUGUCUGGUUUUAAGUUGAGGUGAUGCAAAAUAAAAUAAAUAACAAGUAUAUUUUUUUAUACCCAUGGCAUCUGACAUGAUAAAUGUUACAUUUUUCAUUUUCAUUCAAACAAUAUGAAAUAUUGUAAAGGUCCCUCAGACUUCAUUUUGAAAACAUGAAACGUCCUUUUUGAAAGUUCCAAUGUCUCAUCUUCAAACCAUCAUAUUCUUUUAGACGACCAUAUUUUACAGUUUGUUGUAUUGUAGUUUAUUUUGUCAUGAUCAUUUUUUUUUUUUUUUUACCUAUAAAUCAGAGAGCUUUGUGAAUACCAUCAGACCAAAUGGUUGAUUAUUAUUUGCACUGAAAACAUUGUAUUGUAUGCAAACAUUCUUUUGUAUCAUUUUGUGAUUAAAAAUAUGGGAAAUUUAUA
rnacentral:lncRNA from 1 species